rnacentral:rRNA from 1 species
CCCUUAGAUGUUCUGGGCUGCACGCGCGCUACACUGAUGCUUUCAUCGAGUAUAUAACCUUACCAGACAUGGUUGGGUAAUCUUUUGAAACAGCAUCGUGAUGGGGAUAGAUUAUUGUAAUUAUUAGUCUUCAACGAGGAAUUCCUAGUAAGCGCGAAUCAUCAGUUCGUGCUGAUUACGUCCCUGCCCUUUGUACACACCGCCCGCCGCUCCUACCGAUUGAGUAAUCCGGUGAAUAAUUCGGACCGAUUGCGAUGUCAGUUCCUGGCGCCGCAGACGGAAAGUCUAGUGAACCUUAUUACUUAGAGGAAGGAGAAGUCGUAACA